rnacentral:rRNA from 1 species
CCCAGCAGCAUACCACCCUACAUCCCACUGCUGGCUUGCCUCUGAAGCUAAGCAGGGUUGGUCCUGGAUGGGAGACCUGAUGCUGCUGGAA